rnacentral:rRNA from 1 species
GACGAACGCUGGCGGCGUGCUUAACACAUGCAAGUCGAACGGUGAUGGGUGCUUGCACCUUGAUCAGUGGCGAACGGGUGAGUAACACGUGAGCAACCUGCCCCCGACUCUGGGAUAACCCCGGGAAACCGGAGCUAAUACCGGAUGAGCCCUUAGGGGGAAAGAUUUAUCGCCGAAGGAGCAGCCCGCGUCUGAUUAGGUAGUUGGUGGGGUAAAGGCCUACCAAGCCGACGAUCAGUAGCUGGUCUGAGAGGAUGAGCAGCCACACUGGGACUGAGACACGGCCCAGACUCCUACGGGAGGCAGCAGUGGGGAAUAUUGGACAAUGGGCGCAAGCCUGAUCCAGCCAUGCCGCGUGAGUGAUGAAGGCCUUCGGGUUGUAAAGCUCUUUCGCACACGACGAUGAUGACGGUAGUGUGAGAAGAAGCCCCGGCUAACUUCGUGCCAGCCGCCGCAGUAAGAC